CGUAUGGCGACCGGCGCACGGGUGAGUAACGCGUAUGCAACCUGCCCGAUACCGGGGUAUAGCCCAUGGAAACGUGGAUUAACACCCCAUAGUACUUUUAUCCUGCCUGGGAUAGGAGUUAAAUGUUCAAGGUAUCGGAUGGGCAUGCGUCCUAUUAGUUAGUUGGCGGGGUAACAGCCCACCAAGACGAUGAUAGGUAGGGGUUCUGAGAGGAAGGUCCCCCACAUUGGAACUGAGACACGGUCCAA
rnacentral:rRNA from 1 species